rnacentral:rRNA from 1 species
CACCUGAUCAGCAUGCCGCGUGUGUGAAGAAGGCCUUCGGGUUGUAAAGCACUUUUGUCCGGAAAGAAAACGCCGUGGUUAAUACCCGUGGCGGAUGACGGUACCGGAAGAAUAAGCACCGGCUAACUACGUGCCAGCAGCCGCGGUAAUACGUAGGGUGCAAGCGUUAAUCGGAAUUACUGGGCGUAAAGCGUGCGCAGGCGGUCCGCUAAGACAGAUGUGAAAUCCCCGGGCUUAACCUGGGAACUGCAUUUGUGACUGGCGGGCUAGAGUAUGGCAGAGGGGGGUAGAAUUCCACGUGUAGCAGUGAAAUGCGUAAAGAUGUGGAGGAAUACCGAUGGCGAAGGCAGCCCCCUGGGCCAAUACUGACGCUCAUGCACGAAAGCGUGGGGAGCAAACAGGAUUAGAUACCCUGGUAGUCCACGCCCUAAACGAUGUCAACUAGUUGUCGGGUCUUCAUUGACUUGGUAACGUAGCUAACGCGUGAAGUUGACCGCCUGGGGAGUACGGUCGCAAGAUU